GCCUGGUUAGCUCAAUCGGUAGAGCGUGAGACUCUUAGGUUUCACUUUCUCAGAAAGCGAUUGAUCCAUCUCAAGGUUGCGGGUUCGACCCCCGCAUCGGGCU
rnacentral:tRNA from 1 species